rnacentral:rRNA from 1 species
GUGCCAGCAGCCGCGGUAAUACGUAGGGGGCGAGCGUUGUCCGAAGUUACUGGGCGUAAAGCGCGCGUAGGCGGUCUCUUAAGUCCGGGGUGAAAGGUUCAGCGCUCAACGCGAACAGUGCCUUGGAGACUGGGAGACUUGAGUGUGGGAGGGGGCAGUGGAAUUCCGGGUGUAGCGGUGAAAUGCGUAGAUAUCCGGAGGAACACCGAUGGCGAAGGCAGCUGUCUGGCCUAACACUGACGCUGAGGUGCGAAAGCGCGGGGAGCGAACGGGAUUAGAUACCCCGGUAGUCC